CAUUAGAUGACCGAAAGCAAGUAAUGGUCUUUUAAACCAAUUUAUAGUAAAUUAGCAUUUACUUUUAAUGG
rnacentral:tRNA from 1 species